rnacentral:lncRNA from 1 species
GUUGGGAGGAGCUCCAGAUGUUGCCUUCACUGUUUUAGUGAUCAGAUCAUAACAAACUUGUUGAUAUAUAAGCCAGCUUCAUCUACCUGCUGUUAUCAGGUGUGUCUCACCAGCCACUCAGACCUCUAACCAACCAACCAGCCAACCAACACCACCAUGAAGACCCCUGCCACUCUGACCUCCACCCUGCUGGUCUUCAUCUUGGUGAUCGCCCUCGCUGGACACGGGGUGUCGUCCUCACCCCUCCCGCAGCCCAACAACCGUCAAGGACGCCUUUUUCCGCUCAAUGUUGUCGUUGGACCAACAACAACAACUACCACAGCUGCUCCUGCUGUCGUUGCUCCUGGCAUUACCAUCACGUUUGGCAAGAAAUAAUAAUAACAUGUAUUAUCCCGACAUCAUUUGUCUUGCCACCUCGGUAAAGAUGAAACAGUUAGUUGUUAGUAAUUUACCUGUUUGGUUCAGUUGUUUCCAUAGGUGUUAAUGGAGUGACGUCAGUGUGUGUAUGACUGAACAUUACAAGAGGCUGCUGCUGCCGUGUAGUAACUGGUACUGUAGGCGGGGUUGUUUACACUCCCACAAUUAUCUUAAUAAAACGUAUUGUAGUUAAAAGGAACAAAAUUAUUCAUUAUUCUUACGUCAA